UACGGGGGGGGCAAGCGUUGUUCGGAAUUACUGGGCGUAAAGGGCUCGUAGGCGGCCAACUAAGUCGGACGUGAAAUCCCUCGGCUUAACCGGGGAACUGCGUCCGAAACUGGCGGGCUUGAGUACGGAAGAGGGUCUCGGAAUUCCCGGUGUAGAGGUGAAAUUCGUAGAUAUCGGGAGGAACACCAGUGGCGAAGGCGGAGACCUGGGCCGAUACUGACGCUGAGGCGCGAAAGCGUGGGGAGCGAACCGG
rnacentral:rRNA from 1 species